rnacentral:rRNA from 1 species
GGUGUAGGUGGCUUUAUAAGUCAGAUGUGAAAUCCCGGGGCUUAACCCCGGAAGUGCAUUUGAUACUGCAAAGCUUGAGUGCCGGAGAGGUUACUGGAAUACCUGGUGUAGUGGUGAAAUACGUAGAUAUCAGGUGGAACACCGGAGGCGAAGGCGGGUAACUGGCCGGACACUGACACUCAGACCCGAAAGCGUGGGGAUCAAACA